GCCAGCAUGGUGUAGUGGUUUGAGCAUUGGACUACAACUCUGGAGAUCAGGGUUCAAUUCCUCAUUCAGCCA